UACAGAGGUCUCAAGCGUUGUUCGGAUUCAUUGGGCGUAAAGGGUGCGUAGGCGGCGCGGUAAGUCGGGUGUGAAAUCUCGGAGCUUAACUCCGAAACUGCAUUCGAUACUGCCGUGCUUGAGGACUGGAGAGGAGACUGGAAUUUACGGUGUAGCGGUGAAAUGCGUAGAUAUCGUAAGGAAGACCAGUGGCGAAGGCGGGUCUCGUGGACAGUUCCUGACGCUGAGGCACGAAGGCCAGGGAGCAAACGG
rnacentral:rRNA from 1 species